AUGCCUGGAUGCAUACUUGAUCCUUUUUCCCUCCGGGGUGGUGAGAUAAAUCGACGUACUGGCGCACUCGAUGUUCCUCCAUACAUCGACAGCCAAUCCAUGCCCAGUAUCACAUCCAACCCUUGUGACUCCAGAAUUAUAAGGUCUGAGGGGAAAGUAUGA
rnacentral:rRNA from 1 species